rnacentral:rRNA from 1 species
GAUGAACGCUGGCGGCGUGCCUAAUACAUGCAAGUCGAGCGAACAGACGAGGAGCUUGCUCCUCUGACGUUAGCGGCGGACGGGUGAGUAACACGUGGAUAACCUACCUAUAAGACUGGGAUAACUUCGGGAAACCGGAGCUAAUACCGGAUAAUAUAUUGAACCGCAUGGUUCAAUAGUGAAAUACGGUUUUGCUGUCACUUAUAGAUGGAUCCGCGCCGCAUUAGCUAGUUGGUAAGGUAACGGCUUACCAAGGCAACGAUGCGUAGCCGACCUGAGAGGGUGAUCGGCCACACUGGAACUGAGACACGGUCCAGACUCCUACGGGAGGCAGCAGUAGGGAAUCUUACGCAAUGGGCGAAAGCAUGACGGAGCAACGCCGCGUGAGUGAUGAAGGUCUUCGGAUCGUAAAACUCUGUUAUUAGGGAAGAACAAAUGUGUAAGUAACUAUGCACGUCUUGACGGUACCUAAUCAGAAAGCCACGGCUAACUACGUG